AUUGAACGCUGGCGGAAUGCUUUACACGUGCAAGUCGAACGGUAGAGGGGGCAACCCCUCGAGAGUGGCGAACGGGUGAGUAAUAUAUCGGAACGUGCCCAGUCGUGGGGGAUAACGUAGCGAAAGUUACGCUAAUACCGCAUACGAUCUAAGGAUGAAAGCGGGGGAUCGCAAGACCUCGCGCGAUUGGAGCGGCCGAUAUCAGAUUAGGUAGUUGGUGGGGUAAAGGCUCACCAAGCCAACGAUCUGUAGUUGGUCUGAGAGGACGACCAGCCACACUGGAACUGAGACACGGUCCAGACUCCUACGGGAGGCAGCAGUGGGGAAUUUUGGACAAUGGACGCAAGUCUGAUCCAGCCAUUCCGCGUGCAGGAUGAAGGCCCUCGGGUUGUAAACUGCUUUUGUACGGAACGAAAAGGUCUCUCUUAAUACGGGGGACUCAUGACGGUACCGUAAGAAUAAGCACCGGCUAACUACGUGCCAGCCGCCGCCGUAA
rnacentral:rRNA from 1 species